GCCGCGGUGGUGAAAUCGGUAGACACAGCGGACUUAAAAUCCGCCGAACGGUAAAACGUUCGUGCCGGUUCGAUUCCGGCCCGCGGCACCA
rnacentral:tRNA from 1 species